GUUUUUCAGGGUAGCACAACUCGACAGAACACCGGCUAGCAAGCCAGCUAGCUAGCUAACUAAAUAGACGAUGGGAAUAAAUCUAUCAAACCUGCGAGCUAACUUAACUUAACCGCUCUCCCGAAGCCUACCGGUUAGAAUUAAUCCAUUAAAAUAACCCGUAAACCGCAGCUAACUGUCUACAUCCUGUAACGUUAGCUAAACUGCAGAGAACUGUUAGCUGAAAUGAGCUAACAGUCUCACAGCAGAAGUGGGUUGGUUAGCAGCGUUAGCCAGCUUGUUUGUAGCUAAAUGCUAACCUCGCGUUUCUCGCUGGAUAAGCUUGUGAUAUAACCGCCUAAAGCACGGCAAUAUCCCUACUAACCGCAUUAAAACACGCAGCGGUGUUUUAGCUGUGAGAACUCGCAGUGUGUCGGCUGUAUCCCCUCGUUCUGCGCAGAAAUAAACUUACCUUUAACUACUGUUGACAUGGAGACGAGUCAGCCAUGGCAACCACUGAGCAGAAACCCACGUGACCCUACUGUUUCCGGUGUACAUCUGUUGAAUCUGUAGCGAUUUCUCUGCACGCAUGCGCAGGAUUAGCACUUUAAAAGAGCUUCAAACCUUCAUGUUCUCAUUUGGGGCAGGAUCACAAGUUCUAAUCCACAGUCAUACUGACCUGCAUUCAUCUGCUUCUUUUUUAUACCUCAUUCAGGGCAGCUAAGGUGAGUUUUAUCUCUCAUACCUCCUAUUUACUAUGAUUCAUUGGCAUUCCUACCCAAGGCCUAAGGUUUAAUUUGCCCACCAGAAACAAACUGCAUUUACUCCUUUAGGGGAAGCUCUCCAGGCUUAAAUCCACAUCCACAAAAUAUACCCCAUUUAUUUUAUUUAGCUGUGAAUCCCUUCUGUGUUUCCUUCAGGAAAUGCAUGUUUCUAGUUCAGAGAAUUUAAUCAUUUUAAAUGUGAAGAGUUUCAUGUUGUUCAGAGAAGGAGUUUGGUCACAUGACAACCAGAAGAAUCUGCAGAAUCUUUCAGCUUAUUGAAGUUAGGUCAAAAUAUGUAAUGUGUUCUGUAAAAUGGCACACACACGUAAUUUAUAAAAUAUGUAAAUAACUGAUUAAUUGCAUAGAGAGAGCUUUUUCUUACUGUUCACUUGAGGAGGUCCCUAUGUCUCCCUGUCUCUACAUUUUCAAUGUAGUUUUAUUGUCAAUGACUGAUGGCCACUUCAGCCCUUAUUAAGGAGAUGUUUUUAGAUGCAUGGACAUGGUGUCGAUACCAUCAAGUCCUC
rnacentral:lncRNA from 1 species